CUGGAACGACGUCAAUAUGGAAGUCGACCAUCUGCUUGUCUCGAAGACGGAGAGCGGAUCGCUUGCGGAGAACGGAAUAUUCCGACUCGAGCGACUUGGCGACGUUAUUGUAGAUAUCCUCGAGCGUCUCGCCGGCGCUGGUAUUGUCCGCCGGGAAGUAGCACACGAUGUCCAAGUCGUAAGACUCUCUAUUGAGAGUGCCUUUCGCUCGGGAACCGCCAUAGCGAAUCGUGGGAAAACCGUUGGGACAGGCCGCCCUGAGGAUGUCCUCCACGUGUUGCCGUCGCUCGAUCAGCGUUCUUAGUUCAGCGCUGUCAUCCGAAAGAUUUUGCGUCUUCAGUACGGCCUGCAGAUAGUCAUUGUUCGUCAUCGUUCCGUUUCUAAACCUCCAACUUGAAUGUGAAUCCACCGGCAUCCCGAUCGUUGUCGAACACGCGGAGUCUUGGGUGCACCUUCGGUAACAGUUCUCGGCCGCAGAGGACGGCAACAGGCGCCGGUACAGCGGGGAAGAGGGCGAUAGUGUCGAGCGCGCCAUGCCGCCGCAGAAUUUCUGCGAUCGCUUCCUGAUAUACCACCCGGAACAUUUCGAGGUCUUGCCUCUGGCGCAGAAAAGUCGGCUUCGGCGUCAUGCCAUCGAGCGUGAUUUCGUAGACAGAGCACGAUUUCCUGACGUCUUCCGGGAGGUCUUCGAGUCGAAUCGUGCCGCUCAGGGACAGCACCAGCGCAGCCUCUUGAUGGCGGCCCCUGUUGAGCCGUCCGAAGCGGUACUUCGCCCGCUUGCCAGCCGUCUUCCACGUCCAGUUCUCCGUGUCGCGAUGUCGUUGGUAGAGGUCGCUUGCCACCUUGUUUGUCAGCGUCCGACCGAGGCAGAUCAGAAGUGGGAUCGGGCCGAUCGCGAACACCGACACGUGUCCUGUGCUCGCCGCCUCGCCUUCAGGUCUGAACAGAUCGCGGACGCCCGCCGCGAUGGUUGCACACGCCGUUUUGUAAAAGGCGCGGUCGGCGCUUGGAAGGUUCGUGAGGUUAAUUGUCUUCGGCCGCCGCGUGCUCGGAUAUCGUGGCGCCGUCGCCUCCGUGAUUUGGUCGUACGGCACUGAGACCAUCUGGCCUCGGAUCAGCGCGGUAAAGACCACCACAGCAGUCUUACGAUCGGGUCCGAGCGAGGUUACGUGCCUGAUUCGGUCUUCAUGAGCAGCUUUGUAUUUUUCAAGCGUGACGCGACUGAAGUCUCCUGGGUUGUCGUCAAUCAGCUUGUGAUCCUUGGCGCACAGCAGCAUCAGGUUGUCGACGUUGUUGAUGUCCGUCGGCCGCGGACCGUCCGUGCCACGCGGCCCGCUUUCGCGAAACGCGACGAUAUGAGCCAUCUCAG
rnacentral:misc_RNA from 1 species